rnacentral:lncRNA from 1 species
CCAGGUAGACACCAGGCCGUAGGUGAGCAACAGGAUGCAGUAGGUCAUCAGGCCACAGCUGGAUACCAGUCCCCGGUGAUCACAAGGCCCCAGUGGGACAUAGAUCUAAGGCAGACAUCAGGCCCCAGGUGGACAUACAGGUCUGAGGUGGAAUUCACCCUGAGGGGGACAUUCGGCCCCAGGUACGCAUCAGGCCUCAGCUGAAUAACCAGUCCCCAGGUGGACAUUAACCCACAGGUCAACCACAGUCCCCAGGUUGAUACCUGGUCCCCAGGUGGCUACUCAAUCUGCAGGGUAACAUUAGGCCCCUGUAGGAUCCCAGGCCCCAAGUGGAUUCCUAGGCCCCUGGUGAACAUCAGGUGCAGGUGUCCAAGUAGGCCCUGGGUGGACAUAACUGUGUACAGGUAAGGAGUUGACCUGUGGGGAGGAUGAGCAGUCAGCAGCCCACUGGGGUCCUGAGUAGGUCUUCUGGAAGGAGGAGGCUGAGGGGAUGGAACUUUAAAGAAGCAACCUCACUUCCUUGGCAACAGACCCUAACAGAACUUAGAAUUCUGGUAACCAGGCCAGGCACGGUGGCUCACACCUGUAAUCCCAGCACUUUGGGAGGCUGAGGCAGGAGGAUCAUGAAAUCAGGAGAUCGAGACCAGCCUGAACAACAUGUUCCUGCUUCAGGUGCAGAAACAUAGCUAUUUCCAGUGCCAGCUGUUGAGCCAGUGCCAGCACCAGGGGCAGAGCCCCUUCCAGGGACAGCACUGGAGCUAGAGGAAGCUCCAGAGCCCUCCUGCCGCUGCCCUGGGACUGCACAGGACCAGCCCAGUGAGAAGCUGCCUGACUUCAUGGCACCUCCUGUAGAGCCACCGGCCUCAGCCCUGGAGCUGAAAGUGUGGCUGGAGCUAGAGGUGGCAGAGAGGGGGUGACCAGCACAGCUCCAGCCAGCAGCUCCCACACUGCUCCCAGUCCUGGGCACAGUGGAAGCUAUGGAGGCAGAGACCAGGGUGUGCAACCUGGGCUCCUCUGCCUCACUGGAGAGGGACUUCUCUCAUUCAGCAGAGCAGCAGCCCUGCUGCUGAAGGCCCUGCUGCUACUGCUGCUGGGGGUGUUUGCCUGCCUGCAGGAGGUGCUGGAGAGCAAGAAAAGGAGCCUGUGAGCAGGGGUUCCAGCAGGUCCUCCUGCUCCCAGAGGUGACCUCCUCCUCCAGGAAUGGAGGUUUGCCCUCAGCUGGGCAUCUGGGCCAUUUGCCUCUAAUGUGCUGCCCAGGAUGGCCUCUUCUUGACAGGUGGACAGGGGUUGAGGGGGCCAGGGGGCAUCUCCAAAGGAAGCUCUUAAACUCAGCAGCAGCACUCCAGAAUCUCCAUGCCUGCACCUGCCCAAGGAUUUAUUUAUAGCUUAACUAAGAAUUUCAAAUUUCUACCACAACACUGAAAUAAAGUUUGACUUUUUGAAACUUCCAUGACUUCUUUCACUCCCUAAUAUUGUAGAUGGUGUUUUUGAGG